rnacentral:rRNA from 1 species
UACGUAGGUGACAAGCGUUAUCCGGAAUUACUGGGCGUAAAGCGCACGCAGGCGGCGCAUUAAGUCUGACGUGAAAUCUCCUGGCUUAACUGGGAGGGGUCGUUGGAGACUGAUGUGCUUGAGGCGAUGAGAGGGGUGUAGAAUUCCCGGUGUAGUGGUGGAAUGCGUAGAUAUCGGGAGGAAUACCAGUGGCGAAAGCGACACCCUGGCAUUAGCCUGACGCUCAGGUGCGAAGGCGUGGGGAGCGAACGGG